UACAGAGGGUGCAAGCGUUUGUUCGGAAUUAUUGGGCGUAAAGCGCGUGUAGGCGGCUUUGCAAGUCGGGUGUGAAAGCCCUCAGCUCAACUGAGGAAGUGCGCCCGAAACUGCAGAGCUUGAGUGCCGGAGAGGGUGGCGGAAUUCCCCAAGUAGAGGUGAAAUUGUAGAUAUGGGGAGGAACACCGGUGGCGAAGGCGGC
rnacentral:rRNA from 1 species